rnacentral:rRNA from 1 species
AAGAAUAAAUAGCCGCGGAAUUUUAACUGUGCUAAGGUAGCAUAAUCAUUUGUUCUAUAAUAGAGAACUGGGAUGAAAGAGUUAACAACAUUUUAGCUAUUUAGAUUUAUUUUUAGAAAUUGAUAUCUGUAUUAAAAAGUACGGCUGGCUAGAAAGACGAUAAGACCCUAUAAAACUUUAUUAAAGGAGAUUAAUUUAACAGAAAGUGAAACGUAAUUUAAUUAAGCUGGGGCGGCAAUUAUAAAACUUUAAUAAAUAAAACAAAGAUUUAUGAAAUUCUACAUCUUACACAGAAUUAGAGUUACUUUAGGGAUAACAGCGUAAUUUUAAAUAGUGAUUAGUGUUAUUUAAAGACUUACGACCUCGAUGUUGAAUUGAGGGGCCGGUUUUAAGAAACGAGGGGGUCUGUUCGACCUUUAAUUCCUC